UUGUUGCAGUUAAAAAGCUCGUAGUUGGACCUUGGGCAGGAGGCACGGGUUGGCCGAACGGCUCGACUCGGGUCUCCGGCCUCUAUGGGUGGUCGUGCCUUUGGUACGGUUCGCCCGGGUUACUGUGAAGAAAUUAGAGUGUUUAGAGCAGGCGAUUGCUUGGAUACAUCAGCAUGGAAUAACAAGAUAGGACCUGGUUCCACUUGUUGGUUUGGGGGCUUUGGUAAUGAUUAAUAGGGCCAGUUGGGGGCAUUAGUAUUCAGUAGUCAGAGGUGAAAUUCUUGGAUUUACUGAAGACUAACUAGUGCGAAAGCAUUUGCCAAGGAUGUUUUCAUUAAUCAAGAACGAAAGUUAGGGGAUCGAAGACGAUCAGAUACCGUCGUAGUCUUAACUAUAAACGAUGCCGACUCGGGAUCGGCAGACGUCGUUAGCGACACUGUCGGCACCGUGUGAGAAAUCAAAGUUUUUGGGUUCUGGGGGGAGUAUGGUCGCAAGGCUGAAACUUAAAGGAAUUGACGGAAGGGCACCACCAGGAGUGGAGCCUGCGGCUUAAUUUGACUCAACACGGGAAAACUCACCAGGUCCGGACAUAGUAAGGAUUGACAGAUUGAGAGCUCUUUCUUGAUUCUGUG
rnacentral:rRNA from 1 species